CACUCACCAGCAAGAAGCCUCCUAGGAAGGGCAGUGAACACUGAGGAUAUCACAAGCACCCCUCAGCUGACUACCUUUGAGGCUGAAAUCUGUCAGGAAAAAAUAAACUUUUCCAGGCUGUUGGAAGAAUAUACAAUGCAUGACCACCCUUCCAUGAAGUCAAGCUUGGAGAGGUAACAGCUAAUCCCACCAAGGGCAUGGUAGAAGAAACCCAACAAGGUUCUGGUGUUUCUCCAGGAGCAAGCAUAGGGUCUCAGCAGCAUAUCCAGAGCCCAGCCUGCUGAGUGAUGCUCCUCCCCAGCAGGUUCUGGUUUGGAGAUUCCCACACUUCUCCAGUGACGCAGGCUAUAAGCUUUUGAAACUGUGACCACAACAGACUGUUUGAACUGUGGUGUGAGAGAGUCUGAAAAAUUCCCCAAGCAACUAUAUGCAGGUACUAGCCACAAAGUUGACAAGGAAAGCUUUUAAAGUACGAUGAAAUUCAGCACGGGUGCUGCACCCAGCACAGGAAACUCCGGCCAUCUGGAGACAAGGAUGACCAGCGGCCACAGCAGUUUGAAAAAUUGCAAGGGCUGCCAAAAUUAAACUGUGAAGUCAGGCAGGAAGGCAACCAAUGACCGGUGAGAUCAGAAGUUCAGAGAAGCCUCAGAUGAGCUCCCAACAACAAGUGUGGCCAGCGUACACCAAAGUUUAUUAAGGAUGUUGAGAGGAGGGGAAAAUAUCCAUGCAGAAGAUGCCCAGCUGGCGAGGAGGGAGUGGUGGUGAUGCUCAUGUCACUUGAUGAAUCCCAUUGGCCAAGUCCCCAGGAGAUCCCACCCAUUCGCAAGUGUAAA